rnacentral:tRNA from 1 species
GGAGGUGUAGUUCAGUGGUAGAGUGUUUGCCUACAGUGUAAAAGGCCAUCGGUUCAAUCCCCAGCACCACGA